GGGUGCGAUCUUACCAGCACUAAUGCACCGGAUCCCAUCAGAAACUCCGCAGUUAAGCGUGCUUGGGCGGAGAGUAGUACUAGGAUGGGUGACCUCCUGGGAAGUCCUCGUGUUUGCACCCC